AUUGAACGCUGGCGGCAUGCUUUACACAUGCAAGUCGAACGGUAACAGGCCGCAAGGUGCUGACGAGUGGCGAACGGGUGAGUAAUGCAUCGGAACGUGCCCAGUCGUGGGGGAUAACGCAGCGAAAGCUGCGCUAAUACCGCAUACGAUCUAUGGAUGAAAGCGGGGGACCGUAAGGCCUCGCGCGAUUGGAGCGGCCGAUGUCAGAUUAGGUAGGUGGUGGGGUAAAGGCUCACCAAGCCAACGAUCUGUAGCUGGUCUGGGAGGACGACCAGCCACACUGGGACUGAGACACGGCCCAGACUCCUACGGGAGGCAGCAGUGGGGAAUUUUGGACAAUGGGCGCAAGCCUGAUCCAGCAAUGCCGCGUGCAGGAAGAAGGCCUUCGGGUUGUAAACUGCUUUUGUACGGAACGAAACGGUCCUGGUUAAUACCCGGGGCUAAUGACGGUACCGUAAGAAUAAGCACCGGCUAACUACGUGCCAGCAGCCGCGGUAAGAC
rnacentral:rRNA from 1 species